GACGAACGCUGGCGGCGUGCUUAACACAUGCAAGUCGAACGAUGAACUUGGAGCUUGCUCUGGGGGAUUAGUGGCGAACGGGUGAGUAACACGUGAGUAACCUGCCCUGGACUCUGGGAUAACUUCGAGAAAUCGGAGCUAAUACCGGAUAGGACCUUGCACCGCAUGGUGUGGGGUGGAAAGUUUUUCGGUUUGGGAUGGACUCGCGGCCUAUCAGCGUGUUGGUGAGGUAAUGGCUCACCAAGGCGUCGACGGGUAGCCGGCCUGGGAGGGUGACCGGCCAAGCUGGGACUGGAGCACGGCCCAGACUCCUACGGGGGGCAGCAGUGGGGAAUAGUGUACAAUGGGCGCAAGCCUGAUGCAGCAACGCCGCGUGCGGGAUGACGGCCUUCGGGUUGUAAACCGCUUUUAGUAGGGAAGAAGCCUUCGGGUGACGGUACCUGCAGAAAAAGGACCGGCUAACUACGUGCCAGCCGCCGCGGUAAUAC
rnacentral:rRNA from 1 species